rnacentral:rRNA from 1 species
UGGGGAAUAUUGCACAAUGGGCGAAAGCCUGAUGCAGCAACGCCGCGUGAACGAUGAAGGUCUUCGGAUCGUAAAGUUCUGUUGCAGGGGAAGAUAAUGACGGUACCCUGUGAGGAAGCCCCGGCUAACUACGUGCCAGCAGCCGCGGUAAUACGUAGGGGGCUAGCGUUAUCCGGAUUUACUGGGCGUAAAGGGUGCGUAGGUGGUCCUUCAAGUCGGUGGUUAAAGGCUACGGCUCAACCGUAGUAAGCCGCCGAAACUGGAGGACUUGAGUGCAGGAGAGGAAAGUGGAAUUCCCAGUGUAGCGGUGAAAUGCGUAGAUAUUGGGAGGAACACCAGUAGCGAAGGGGGCUUUCUGGACUGCAACUGACACUGAGGCACGAAAGCGUGGGUAGCAAACAGGAUUAGAUACCCUGGUAGUCCACGCUGUAAACGAUGAGUACUAGGUGUCGGGGGUUACCCCCCUCGGUGCCGCAGCUAACGCAUUAGUACUCCGCCUGGGGAGUACGCACGCAAGUGUG